rnacentral:misc_RNA from 1 species
AACGCACAUUGCGCCCGCCAGUAUUCUGACGGGCAUGCCUGUUCGAGCGUCAUUUACACCCCUCGGGCCCCUUCUGCGGCCCGGUGUUGGGGCGUUGCGCGGCACCCCCGCGCAAGCCCUGAAAUGCAGUGGCGGGCCGUCCCGCGUCUCCCUUGCGUAGUCACCAUACCUCGCUCUGGGACGUGGACGGUUUCCAGCCGUGAAACCCCCCCUUUCACAAGGUUGACCUCGGAUCAGGUAGGGAUACCCGCUGAACUUAA